AGUGAACGCUGGCGGUAGGCCUAACACAUGCAAGUCGAACGGCAGCACAGUAAGAGCUUGCUCUUACGGGUGGCGAGUGGCGGACGGGUGAGGAAUACAUCGGAAUCUACUUUUUCGUGGGGGGUAACGUAGGGAAACUUACGCUAAUACCGCAUACGACCUACGGGUGAAAGCAGGGGAUCUUCGGACCUUGCGCGAUUGAAUGAGCCGAUGUCGGAUUAGCUAGUUGGCGGGGUAAAGGCCCACCAAGGCGACGAUCCGUAGCUGGUCUGAGAGGAUGAUCAGCCACACUGGAACUGAGACACGGUCCAGACUCCUACGGGAGGCAGCAGUGGGGAAUAUUGGACAAUGGGCGCAAGCCUGAUCCAGCCAUACCGCGUGGGUGAAGAAGGCCUUCGGGUUGUAAAGCCCUUUUGUUGGGAAAGAAAAGCAGCAGGUUAAUACCCCGCUGUUCUGACGGUACCCAAAGAGUAAGCACCGGCUAACUUCGUG
rnacentral:rRNA from 1 species